rnacentral:rRNA from 1 species
UACGAAGGGGGCUAGCGUUGCUCGGAAUUACUGGGCGUAAAGGGCGCGUAGGCGGACAGUUUAGUCAGAGGUGAAAGCCCAGGGCUCAACCUUGGAAAUGCCUUUGAUACUGGCUGUCUUGAGUUCGGGAGAGGUGAGUGGAAUGCCGAGUGUAGAGGUGAAUUCGUAGAUAGUUCGGCGGAACACCAGUGGCGAAGGCGACUCACUGGCCCGAUACUGACGCUGAGGCGCGAAAGCGUGGGAGCAACA